rnacentral:sRNA from 1 species
UAAAAGAAGGGUACUAUGGUGCUGUAUUCCAAACGAUUCAAUGAUUUCACAUAUUUUUGUAAAUCCUUGGCACGUUCGAAGAUUUACAAAAAUAUGUGAUUUUUUUGUAUUUCGCCCCGAAUAUGUAAAAAUUUUUAAAUGAGGAGGUACCACUAAUGAGCAACGGUACAGUAAAAUGGUUUAACGCAGAAAAAGGCUAUGGUUUCAUCACCAACGCAGACAACGGAGAAGAUGUAUUCGUACAUUAUUCUUCUAUCCAGACUGAUGGAUUCAAGACAUUACAGGAAGGUCAGGCUGUAACUUUUGAUACAGAAGCUGAUCCCAGAGACAGCAAGAAGGUUCGCGCUGUCAAUGUUAUUCCCCAGUAAUCAGAGA